rnacentral:piRNA from 1 species
UCUCCUGAGAGCACCGUCCUGCAUGUGAC